rnacentral:rRNA from 1 species
UAAGGGCGCACGGUGGAUGCCUUGGCACUAGAAGCCGAUGAAGGACGUUACUAACGACGAUAUGCUUUGGGGAGCUGUAAGUAAGCUUUGAUCCAGAGAUUUCCGAAUGGGGAAACCCAGCAUGAGUUAUGUCAUGUUAUCGAUAUGUGAAUACAUAGCAUAUCAGAAGGCACACCCGGAGAACUGAAACAUCUUAGUACCCGGAGGAAGAGAAAGAAAAUUCG